CGCCUGUUUAUCAAAAACCAUCGCCUCUUGAAACAACAAUAUAAGAGGUCCUGCCUGCCCAGUGACCACAUGUUCAACGGCCGCGGUACUUUGACCGUGCGAAGGUAGCGCAAUCACUUGUCUUUUAAAUGGAGACCUGUAUGAAUGGCACGACGAGGGCUUAACUGUCUCCUUUUUCCAGUCAAUGAAAUUGAUCUUCCCGUGCAGAAGCGGGAAUAAAACCAUAAGACGAGAAGACCCUGUGGAGCUUUAGACGCUAAAUCAGCCUUGUCCAAAACCCUAUCUUAAAAGACUGAACGCCAAAGGAGACCUGAUCUGAUGUCUUCGGUUGGGGCGACCUCGGGGAAAAGAAAAACCCCCGCGCGGAAUAGGAAUACUAUAUUCCCAAAACUAAGAGCCACCACUCAAAGUAUCAGAAAUUCUGACCAACUAUAUGAUCCGGCCCAACGCCGAUCAACGGACCGAGUUACCCCAGGGAUAACAGCGCAAUCCCCUUUUAGAGCCCAUAUCGACAAGGGGUUUACGACCUCGAUGUUGGAUCAGGACAUCCUAAGUGGUGCAGCCGC
rnacentral:rRNA from 1 species